rnacentral:lncRNA from 1 species
ACUCCACAAGAUGAUUACUAUAGAUAAUAUAGGAGUUGACAUUGAUUAUAGACCAAUGUACACAAGAUGAGAUCGGUCAUUAACUUACCUGAAACUCUUGAUGUUUCAAAUAUACAUAUUGCCGAUGUACCCUGCAGAUCGAUAAACUUCCGAUCUCAUUACUCAUCAGUAAGUCAAUUUGUUGCCACUCCAUACGUUG